CUUUGAUUCAGCUAGUUCUGACUAGUUUUUGGUUGUGGUCCGAGAACAAAACUUGGUCUUCUAGUAAGUCUGAAUCUGUUGGCAUAGGUAUUCACCGGUGGUUUGGAGAUUUUUCGUCGCUGAAAAUUUUUUCAAGACACCCACGCGCUGCUAGCUGUGGGUGGCAGCCCAUAGAGUUCUAAAUUGUUACCCUUGUCGUCCUGAGCAUGACGGUAUGCUCGAAUUUGGAUUUGAUUAUCGUUUGACAGUCGAACGCAUAUUGCACCUAUUAUGCGAUAUCGGGGUUCAAUAGGUUGGACCGUUCAAUCGGUCCCAUUUUCUAAUGCGUUGCUCCUCAUACUUUUAGGAUUUGUGUUGGAAAUGGUGGAUCAAGAAUGGGAGUCCUGGAUACUCCGAAUCAAUGAUUCUAGGGUUAAGUAAACCGAUUACCGUCCGAUCGUGCCAUCGAGAGCAAUUCGAUUGCUCAAUCGAAGUAGACCUUGUUGGACUUAUAGUAAAGUUUGGAUCGAAUCGGAGGUUAUGGGCCCGGCGGGCCCAAUUGGUCAAAUUCAGCGAUCAAACCGACCAUUAGAUCGUGACGGGACUUCUAGAACGGC
rnacentral:lncRNA from 1 species